GACGAACGCUGGCGGCGUGCUUAACACAUGCAAGUCGAACGGAAAGGCCCCUUUGGGGGUACUCGAGUGGCGAACGGGUGAGUAACACGUGAGUAACCUGCCCUUGACUUCGGGAUAACUUCAGGAAACUGGGGCUAAUACCGGAUAGGAAUCCUUGCUGCAUGGUGGGGGUUGGAAAGCUUCGGCGGUUUUGGAUGGACUCGCGGCUUAUCAGCUUGUUGGUGGGGUAGUGGCUUACCAAGGCUUUGACGGGUAGCCGGCCUGAGAGGGCGACCGGCCACAUUGGGACUGAGGUACGGCCCAGGCUCCUACGGGGGGCAGCAGUGGGGAAUAUUGCACAAUGGGCGGAAGCCUGAUGCAGCAACGCCGCGUGCGGGAUGACGGCCUUCGGGUUGUAAACCGCUUUCAGCAGGGGCGAAGCUUGUGGUGACGGUACCUGCAGAAGAAGCACCGGCUAACUACGUG
rnacentral:rRNA from 1 species